UGGCCAAGCAUCACACUUUGUGUGCACAGAA
rnacentral:piRNA from 1 species